rnacentral:rRNA from 1 species
CCUACGGGGGGCAGCAGUGGGGAAUAUUGGACAAUGGGGGCAACCCUGAUCCAGCCAUGCCGCGUGUGUGAAGAAGGCCCUCGGGUUGUAAAGCACUUUCAGUGAGGAAGAACGCCUGGUGGUUAAUACCCAUCAGGAAAGACAUCACUCACAGAAGAAGCACCGGCUAACUCCGUGCCAGCAGCCGCGGUAAUACGGAGGGUGCGAGCGUUAAUCGGAAUUACUGGGCGUAAAGCGCGCGUAGGUGGCUUGAUAAGCCGGUUGUGAAAGCCCCGGGCUCAACCUGGGAACGGCAUCCGGAACUGUCAAGCUAGAGUGCAGGAGAGGAAGGUAGAAUUCACGGUGUAGCGGUGAAAUGCGUAGAGAUCGGGAGGAAUACCAGUGGCGAAGGCGGCCUUCUGGACUGACACUGACACUGAGGUGCGAAAGCGUGGGUAGCAAACAGGAUUAGAUACCCCUGUAGUC